rnacentral:rRNA from 1 species
UACGGAGGGGGCCAGCGUUGCUCGGAAUUAUUGGGCGUAAAGGGCGCGUAGGCGGCUUGGUAAGUUUGAUGUGAAAUCCCAUGGCUUAACCAUGGAACUGCAUCUCAUACUGCCGAGCUAGAGUCUGGGAGAGGGAAGUGGAAUUCCCGGUGUAGCGGUGAAAUGCGUAGAUAUCGGGAGGAAUACCUAUGGCGAAAGCAGGCUACUGGAC